rnacentral:rRNA from 1 species
ACUCCUACGGGAGGCAGCAGUGGGGAAUAUUGCACAAUGGGCGCAAGCCUGAUGCAGCCAUGCCGCGUGUGUGAAGAAGGCCUUCGGGUUGUAAAGCACUUUCAGUCGUGAGGAAGGUAGUGAGUUAAUUAGCUGCAUUAUUUGACGUUAGCGACAGAAGAAGCACCGGCUAACUCCGUGCCAGCAGCCGCGGUAAUACGGAGGGUGCGAGCGUUAANCGGA